GACGUAGGGCGCGAGCGUUGUCCGGAUUUAUUGGGCGUAAAGAGCUCGUAGGCGGUGUGUCACGUCGGCCGUGAAAACCUGCAGCUUAACUGUGGGCGUGCGGUCGAUACGGGCAUCACUGGAGUUCGGCAGGGGAGACUGGAAUUCCUGGUGUAGCGGUGAAAUGCGCAGAUAUCGGGAGGAACACCAAUGGCGAAAGCAGGUAACUGGACUAUUACUGACACUCAGCUGCGAAAGCUAGGGGAGCAAACAGG
rnacentral:rRNA from 1 species